AGCUCCAAUAGCGUAUAUUAAAGUUGUUGCAGUUAAAAAGCUCGUAGUUGGAUUCCUGGUUUGAGCGACCGGCCUGGGCCGAACGGUUCAGUGCUUCGAGUUGUCUCUGACCUUCCUGUGGGAGAGCUUGUUUGACAUUAGGUUGUUAGGCAAGGGACCCCACUCGUUUACUGUGAAAAAAUUAGAGUGUUUAAAGCAGGCAUUUGCUGUGAAUACAUUAGCAUGGAAUAAUAAGAUAGGACUUUGGUGCUAUUUUGUUGGUUUGCACACCAAGGUAAUGAUUAACAGGGACAGUUGGGGGUAUUCGUAUUUAAUUGUCAGAGGUGAAAUUCUUGGAUUUAUGAAAGACGAACUACUGCGAAAGCAUUUACCAAGGAUGUUUUCAUUAAUCAAGAACGAA
rnacentral:rRNA from 1 species